CCUACGGGAGGCAGCAGUGGGGAAUUUUGCGCAAUGGGCGAAAGCCUGACGCAGCAACGCCGCGUGAGCGAUGAAGGCCUUCGGGUCGUAAAGCUCUGUCAAGUGGGAAGAACACAAUGACGGUACCACUAGAGGAAGCCCCGGCUAACUUCGUGCCAGCAGCCGCGGUAAU
rnacentral:rRNA from 1 species